UGGGGUGUAAUGGCGCAAGGGCCUAGAUAUGGACCAAAGAGCGCCAUACACAUGGUAAUGAUGACGAUGUAUUG
rnacentral:lncRNA from 1 species